AGUGAACGCUGGCGGUAGGCCUAACACAUGCAAGUCGAACGGCAGCACAGUAAGAGCUUGCUCUUACGGGUGGCGAGUGGCGGACGGGUGAGGAAUACAUCGGAAUCUACUUUUUCGUGGGGGAUAACGUAGGGAAACUUACGCUAAUACCGCAUACGACCUACGGGUGAAAGCAGGGGAUCUUCGGACCUUGCGCGAUUGAAUGAGCCGCUGUCGGAUUAGCUAGUUGGCGGGGUAAAGGCCCACCAAGGCGACGAUCCGUAGCUGGUCUGAGAGGAUGAUCAGCCACACUGGAACUGAGACACGGUCCAGACUCCUACGGGAGGCAGCCGUGGGGAAUAUUGGACAAUGGGCGCAAGCCUGAUCCAGCCAUACCGCGUGGGUGAAGAAGGCCUUCGGGUUGUAAAGCCCUUUUGUUGGGAAAGAAAAGCAGCAGGUUAAUCCCCCGCUGUUCUGACGGUACCCAAAGAAUAAGCACCGGCUAACUUCGUG
rnacentral:rRNA from 1 species